rnacentral:rRNA from 1 species
GAUGAACGCUGACAGAAUGCUUAACACAUGCAAGUCGAUGGGGAAGUGGUGCUUGCACCAUGGCAACCAUGGCGGACGGGUGAGUAACGCGUAAGGGACUUACCUGCAGGACUGGGAUAACAGGGGGAAACUCCUGACAAGACCGGAUAAUGUCAUGGAGCUGCAUGGCUUUUUGAUGAAAGGAGACGCCUGCGGAGAGCCUUGCGUCCUAUUAGCUAGUUGUUGAGGUAAUGGCUCACCAAGGCGAAGAUAGGUAGCCGGCCUGAGAGGGUGGACGGCCACAAGGGGACUGAGAGACGGCCCUUACUACUACGGGAGGCAGCAGUGGGGAAUAGUGGACAAUGGGGGCAACCCUGAUCCAGCAAUUCUGUGUGCACGAAGAAGGUUUUCGGAUUGUAAAGUGCUUUCAGCAGGGAAGAAGUAAGUGACGGUACCUGCAGAAGAAGCGACGGCUAAAUACGUG